rnacentral:rRNA from 1 species
GACGUAGGGCGCGAGCGUUGUCCGGAUUUAUUGGGCGUAAAGAGCUCGUAGGCGGCUUGUCGCGUCGAGUGUGAAAUCCUGCGGCUCAACUGCAGGCUUGCAUUCGAUACGGGCAGGCUGGAGUUCGGUAGGGGAGACUGGAAUUCCUGGUGUAGCGGUGAAAUGCGCAGAUAUCAGGAGGAACACCUGCGGUGUAGACGGCUUACUGGACCGUAACUGACGCUGAGGCACGAAAGCGUGGGUAGCAAACAGG